rnacentral:rRNA from 1 species
CCUACGGGUGGCAGCAGUGAGGAAUAUUGGUCAAUGGGCGUAAGCCUGAACCAGCCAAGUCGCGUGAGGGAUGAAGGUUCUAUGGAUCGUAAACCUCUUUUAUAAGGGAAUAAAGUGUGGGACGUGUCCUGUUUUGUAUGUACCUUAUGAAUAAGGAUCGGCUAACUCCGUGCCAGCAGCCGCGGUAUACGGAGGAUCCGAGCGUUAUCCGGAUUUAUUGGGUUUAAAGGGUGCGUAGGCGGCCUUUUAAGUCAGCGGUGAAAGUCUGUGGCUCAACCCUAGAAUUGCCGUUGAAAAUGGGAGGCUUGAGUAUGUUUGAGGCAGGCGGAAUGCGUGGUGUAGCGGUGAAAUGCUUAGAUACCACGCAGAACCCCGAUUGCGAAGGCAGCCUGCCAAGCCAUGACUGACGCUGAUGCACGAAAGCGUGGGGAUCAAACAGGAUUAGAUACCCCGGUAGUC